GGAGGGGGUCCGGGUGGUGAGGACGCGGUCUUGAAAACCGUUGCCCCGCAAGGGGUUGCAGGUUCGAAUCCUGUCCCCUCCG
rnacentral:tRNA from 1 species